AGUGAACGCUGGCGGCGUGCUUAACACAUGCAAGUCGAACGAGAAACGGUCUAGCUUGCUAGAUGCAGUCUAAGUGGCGCACGGGUGAGUAAUGUAUAGCUAAUGUGCCCCUUGGAGGGGGAUAACAGUCGGAAACGGCUGCUAAUACCCCAUACUCCUUCAUUCUUAAUGAGUGAAGGGAAAGUUUUUUCGCCAAGGGAUCAGGCUAUAUGGUAUCAGCUAGUUGGUGAGGUAACGGCUCACCAAGGCAAUGACGCCUAACUGGUCUGAGAGGAUGAUCAGUCACACUGGAACUGAGACACGGUCCAGACUCCUACGGGAGGCAGCAGUGGGGAAUAUUGCACAAUGGAGGAAACUCUGAUGCAGCAACGCCGCGUGGAGGAUGACGCAUUUCGGUGUGUAAACUCCUUUUAUAUAGGAAGAUAAUGACGGUACUAUAUGAAUAAGCACCGGCUAACUCCGUGCCAGCAGCCGCGGUAAUACGGAGGGUGCAAGCGUUACUCGGAAUCACUGGGCGUAAAGCGCGCGCAGGCGGCUUUGUAAGUUGGAUGUGAAAUCCUAUGGCUCAACCAUAGAACUGCAUCCAAAACUACUUAGCUAGAGUCUGGGAGGGGAUGAUGGAAUUAGUGGUGUAGGGGUAAAAUCCGUAGAGAUCACUAGGAAUACCAAAAGCGAAGGCGAUCUUCUGGAACAGUACUGACGCUGAGGCGCGAAAGCGUGGGGAGCAAACA
rnacentral:rRNA from 1 species